rnacentral:rRNA from 1 species
CACGUAGGGCGCGAGCGUUGUCCGGAAUUAUUGGGCGUAAAGAGCUCGUAGGCGGCCUGUUGCGUCCGCUGUGAAAGCCCGGGGCUUAACCCCGGGUCGGCAGUGGAUACGGGCAGGCUAGAGGUAGGUAGGGGAGAAUGGAAUUCCCGGUGUAGCGGUGAAAUGCGCAGAUAUCGGGAGGAACACCGGUGGCGAAGGCGGUUCUCUGGGCCUUACCUGACGCUGAGAAGCGAAAGCAUGGGGAGCGAACAGG